UAUCUCUGUAGAGUCUGCAUAUCAAUAAGCGGAGGAAAAGAAACUAACAAGGAUUCCCUUAGUAACGGCGAGUGAAGCGGGAAGAGCUCAAAUUUGAAAUCUUCAAGGUUCUACCUUGACGAAUUGUAGUUUAAAGAAGUGUUUUCUGUUAGAUGAGUAGCAAAGGUUCCUUGGAAUGGGACAUCAUAGAGGGUGAGAAUCCCGUAUUUGGUUAUUCAUUCUAGCUUUGUGAUACACUUUCAAAGAGUCGGAUUGUUUGGGAAUGCAGUCCAAAAUGGGUGGUAAAUUUCAUCUAAAGCUAAAUACUGGCGAGAGACCGAUAGCGAACAAGUACCGUGAGGGAAAGAUGAAAAGAACUUUGAAAAGAGAGUUAAACAGUACGUGAAAUUGUCAAAAGGGAAGCGUUUGACACCAGUGUUGUUUUCUCGAAAAUCAAUUAAGAAUGGCAUGAUUUUGUGUUGUAUUGACUUUAUCAGCUUUCUUCACUCUUUUCGAAGUCUUUUUAAUGCACUUUUCGGUUAACAAGUCAACAUCAGUUUCUUUUGUUGUAAAAGAGUCAUUGGAAGGUGGCUUUCUUUUCGGAGAAAGUGUUUAUAGCCUUAUGCCUCUACAAUCGGAGAGAUUGAGGUCUGCAGCGUAGAUCCUUCGGGGUUAGAUACAUUUGUGCUAAGUUAGUAGCCUUUCAUAGACAACUUGUUGACUAUGAUCAGUCAUGUAGGCUUACUCGCUUAGUGCUAUUUUACCUACGCUUAGGAUGUUGACGAGACUGUCGAUCUC
rnacentral:rRNA from 1 species